AUGAAUCUUGGGUUGUGUAAGAUCAAGUUCUGUUCAUUGAUCUUAUUUCGGUAUUACCUAGAGUCCUAUCAUGCAAAUAUGUGCUUAAGUGUGGGACAAAAUUCAAGGUAUUUCAAUGCAUAUGUGAAGGCGGGAGUUAGACAGUUGCUAGUUGAGUUGAAAUCAAUGAAGAAAGCAAUCGCGGUUGUUGAUUUCAUUUAUAUCAACUUAAAUAAGAAAAUAGUUAUCUAUGUUAUUUGA